UCAUACUUGUUGCGCUGUAUCUGUAUCAGUAUUUGUAUCUGUGUGCCAUGUAGCUGUACGAGCAUGAGUACGAGUAUCUUGUAUUUGUAUCGGUGUGUGUAUCAGCUUGUAUGGUAGUAUGUGUGGCGAUUGUAUGCCGCUGUGCCGUCGCAAACUAAAGUUUCGUGAGGCAUUUGUUCAGUACGUCACCGACAGCGCCAACGAAAAGAAGGAGGAGGCGGUGAGCCGGACUCAGCACUUGGGAAUCGUAACACGGAAUGGGAGGACCAUCAUCAUCAUCAACAUCAUAAUCAUCAUCAUCAACGACUAUCUCUGGGCAUCUCUGGUCACACUAGCUUAGUUAGAGGGCCCUUUUUAUAUAUUUCGUUCGGCAAACACGAUCCUUGAUAACACAUCCUGAUAGUGAAUUUUAAUUCAAAUUUUUCAAGUAUUUCCCCGUCUCUCUUUUGUUAUCAAAUUCGUGCGCGAAUUCGUGUUUUUUUGUAACGAAAGUGUGUGUGUGGUGUUUGUGUGCUUGUGUUUGUCCCUAAUUAUUAAUUAGCUUAAAUCCUCACUUCUUGCCACCAUAAGUGACAAACAAAAAAAAAAAAAAACAGAAACCAGAGAGACACACGAAUUAUUUGCAAAUUUUUUGCGUCGCAGUUGGAAAGAAAACAAAGCCAGAGCUAGAAAGAGAAACUUAAACGACGUAUUUAACAAACCAAAAAAAAAAAUAUAUAUAUAGACAUAUAUAAAAAAUAAAAAAAAAAAAUAUAUAAGGGAGAGAGAAACAAAAAACAACAACAGAAACAAGAAGAAUUAAAAAACAAACUCGCUCGCGACUUUUGAGCUUCGCAACUGAAUAAUUAAAAUUAGAAGCGGAAAAGUAAAUACAACACUAAAUAAAUUUCGAAUAAAGAACCCGAAACGCUUAAAUCUACAUACAUACAUACAUACAUACAUAUGUAUAUAUAUGUACAUCAACACAUAUGUAUGUAUUUUAGAAAAAAAAAAAAUGGCGCACAAAGAAACUGUGAACUUAUACAAUCAAAAAAAAAAUUUUUGUUGUAUUUGAUUGCAUGUACGAGUAUAUGUAUGGAAACAAGAACAACAAAUGAACUUUGUACCAAAGUGACAACACCAAGUGACGAUCAUCAUCACGAUGAUGAUGAUGAUGAUUGAGACGAUAAUGAUGAAUGAAAUUGUAGCCCAAAAGUACGGAUCAUCAAUGAAGUUGUGUGCUGAGCCACCCCCACCCCAUCCCCCCGCCUUCUACCAUAUAUCAUCAUCUUAUCAUUAUCAAACGGAAAGACAGCAUAAAUGAAGAAGAAGAAAAAAAAAAUAAAAUAGACAAAGAAAUCAAAACAAAUACCAUAAAAGAGUUGAUAAGCUCUCUCUCUCUCUCUUUCCCUUCUAUACAUACUUUGUCGGCGUGCAUUGAACUAAUUUGUGUCUUCUUGUUGUUGUUGUUUUUUUGUUGUUUCUGUUAAAAUUGUCAUAGUAGUUUUUCCUCGUUUCUUUGACUUUUUUGUUUCUAUUUUUUUUUUUUAUAAUACCCUCUCUAUGUGUAUUUAUUUAAAGCGCAAAUGUUUUAGAUACGACACAAAUGUUAGGGGUAGGGGGGAGGGUGGUUGGGGGGUAAGAGGGGUUGGGGGGUGUGGGACCAGACCAGAGCUAGCCAGACAAAUAACAACAAAGUAAACUAUAAAAACAACUAAAGGCAAACUUGCCUAUCUGCCUUAUUGUUGUUGCUAUUUGUUGUUGUUGUUGUUGCGGUGCGUGUGCUCAGCAUUUAACUAAACUGGCACACACGCACACCAACACCAACAAAUAAAUAAAAAAAAAAAACACUCACACACACACACAUACUCAGCAGCAGCAGCAGCUACACCAACACAUCAGCAAUCUGUCAGGGCUGGCGGCCUAGUGAGCUUAUAUAAUCACCGUCUAAUGGCUUUGUUUAAAAGACGCUGAAAAUUACAAUUUCCGCCUUGAUGCUCUGUCUCUCUUCUAUUUUUUUUUUUUUUCGGGCCAGGUAAGUGUUAAGCAUGUGACUCAAGACUACUUUUUUUUUUUUGGUUGUUAGGUAGGUUGGUUGGUUGGUUGGUAGUUUGGAAUGUUUAAAUGUUUGUAUGGCAUCACAUGUCAUUUAUAGUUUGGCCUUUAAAUGGGCCGAUCGUGGGCCUUUUGAUAAGCCGUAGAUUGAGCGCGUGCUUUUUGUCUGGGUGCCACACCAUGGACAUGGACAGGUGUGUCUGUAUGGUAUGGACUUUCGAAAUUCCAGAAAUUCUUGCGUCAAGUAGCCGCCACCGCCGCCGUCGCCCCGAAAAUCUUAUCACUAUCAGACGAUCGUCCAGUUGAACUGAAGUGCUAUAGAGUUUUCAUUGGGGAGUGGGAUGUACAUACGGGAGGCGGUAGCUUGUCAAUGGAUUGCAUUGAUAUUCGAUACUGAUUGGUUUGAUUUUCGAAUAAAACUCAUAAACACACCUGGCGCCGGGAAUUCAAGGAAAUCCUAAUCAAACGAAAGGUGCAAAAAGCUGAAAAUAGUCAACUGGGAGUUGUAUUUUUAGAUCCCCCUUUUUUUUUAAUUACCAGGAAAUUAAGUAAUAUUUGUUGGGGCUUUUAAUAUUUAUUUAUAUAAUUAUUUUGCACAUUUUUAUUUAUUUUUCUUAUAAAUUCGUGUCUAGAUUACUGAUUUUUUUUGUUAAAAAAUUCCCAUAUUCCUCGAACUAAUUUAGAUUUUAUUUUAAUAUGAUUUCCAUGUCGCAUUGGGGGACUGUCCCAGUUUGAAUUUUACAACGAUCUGCAGCCCCCCCGCGAUCAGAGGCCAUAACAUGUAAAGCCUAUGGAAUUUCCUAUAAAUAAGUUCAUGACGAAUAUAACAAAAAUCCCCUGUCCCAACCUUAGCCUCGCGCCCUAUACUGCCACUCCCCCGCCCACUUUGGCCCCAUAGCCCCCACCCCUCUCUCUUCUGUUUUCGUUGUAAAUGACCCUCGUUCACAUAAAGUUCAGGAAUUCCAUUUACAAACUUGUAAUUGAAAAAAUCCACACACAAGCGAGAUGGAGAGCUAUGCCAGAAAGAGAUGGCUACAACCAAACCGUUUUACCGUUCAAUGACGAAUUUUUGUAUUUGUAUUUGUAUUUGUGGGUUGUUUACAAAAAGAUACUUUUGACAAAAAAAUUUUUUAGUUUUUAGAUUACAAAAUCAAAAACUAAAAAAAGAAUCAAUAUUAAAUUUAUUAUGAAACUAAAAUAAAGUAAACUAUCUGAACUGUGGGUCUAACGCACAGAUACAGAUACUUUUCUCGCCGGUCGGCUUGGUCGGCUGAAAUGGGGCGGUAGGCGGGGCAGUGUCUGUUUGGAAUGCCGUUUUGUAAGUUUCUUGUGCAUGCGAGUCAAACAAACAUCGCGGAGCACGAGUACAUAGUUCGGAAUCGAAACUUUCUAGCUCACAGAUACAAAAAGAGCAGCACCAGUUACACACAUACACACACACACACACAGAAGGCGACUUUCAAGUCGCUGCCUCAGCCGCUGCUGACGUCGCUGUCGACGCCAAAGACAACGAAGAUCUUCUUCGCUCUCUCUAUUCAACUCUCUCUCUCACGCUCGACAGGCCGAACAGGGCUGCCACCUAUCGUUUGUACCGAUACCCUGCCAGAUAUCUUCCAGUAUAUAGCGACUAUUAUUUUUUAUUAAUACAAUUUUUUAUUAAAAACAGUUGGAAAUAGCAUUAAAAAAGUUAAAAUAAAGCAGCUAAAGUUGAGCUAGAGCGCGAUAUAAGCUGUUUAGCUCUCGCUCGUACGCACUGCGGCACGACUAUCGUCAAGAAAUAAAAUAUCGAUAACAUCGAUGUUGACAUCGAUAUGUUUCUCCACCUCUAAACUCAACACCUUGGCUCCAUCUACUAUUUUUCAUUCAUCAAAAUUUUCAUUCAUUCACUCAUUCAUUCAGUAAAUUUCCGCGGCUGCAGUCGCAUGUGCGCUCUCGCUUAUCCUCAUCUCCUCGUCUUCGCGAACGGAUGUGAAGCCAAAUAAAUUGAACAGUGUGAAAAGCAAAUAUUAGCCAAAAAAUAAAAACAUUUAAAGCCGAGCCGAGUCAGGGGAAAGCACAGCACUAAAGUAAAAAAUAAAAAAGUAGUUUUAAAAAGAGGAGCAUGCCAGCCAGAAAGAGACCGACCGAGUCAGGCGGAUGAGACACGAAACUUGUGCGACCGCAUUCCAGAAAGUUCAUAUAACGAUCAUGGAAGGAGGGGGGAAAGUGAAGGAAAAACUGAAGUUGAACAACUAAACUCGAAUUCAAACUCGAACUCACAGUGCUGUGUACAUAUCCGUGUGUGUCUGUGUUUGUGUGUGUGCUCUGUGGAAUGCAGAAGAAGCAGAAUUACAACGAACUCUUCUAACUCGAGCCAAAAACUCUGUAACUGGAAUUUGUAUCCUGUGUGGAAGUAAACCGUUAUUCUUUGGAAGAGCUCUAUUGGAAAUUUUUUUGAGGAAUAUGAGGUUCUGGGAAUUCCUACUACUAAAAUGUCCUUCUAGAUCAUAAUUUUGAUGAAAAAUGUAUAAUUUUUUGUAGCCAAUUAGUAGUUUAAGUUAGAGGAGUAUGACUGUAGAAAAAUAUUUCCGAAACUGGUUUGCUUUUGCCAAAAGACAGCAAAGACUGUAUGUCGUCGGUUGCUGGGGCCUCCAUUGACAUCCCAGGAGCUUUUUCUGUUUUUUUUUCUAACCUCCAAGUCCACAUGGGUAAGCCACUUUUGUUGGAAUUUCAAAUACACACACACACACACAGUCGCAGUUACAAGAUCGAGACUCGGUUUUUUAAGUGAGUAAAAUAUUUAUUGGCUGAAAUUGGAUGCUGUGUGGCGGUGUGUGUGUGUGGCGUCUAUUUAGAAAUUCAAAUUGAAAUUUUUGAAGCGUGAGUAAUGCGAUGGGAGCGUGGGUUGGAGACCAGUUUUUUUUUUUUUUUACUUCAUUCGAUCCUAACCUUCAUGUGGGAAUGGUUAUGGAAAAUGGGGAACAGUCAUAAAAGUUGCAUCACUCAGCAGAAAGCACGAAGGCGAAGAAGCACAGAAGACACAAACAACAAAAGUCAAGCACCAGCAUAGAAUGCGGCUGCCAGACAUGCGAGACAGCAAUACCCCAGCCGAAAGAGACAGAAGAGGGAGAAGGGAAGAAAGAUCGCCAGAAGAACCGUUUCACAGAGCAGCAGUACCAGGAAAGAGAGCGAGGAGAGGGGAUAAAGGGAACAAGCACUUGAAGAAAAUUGGUAAAAGUAAGAUAAUAUUUUAAAACCUAAAUUUAUUUUGUAUAAUUUUCUAUAUUUUUAAAUAUUAUUUGACCAUAAAACUAAGUUUCUUUUUACAGCCAAAAUAAUCCCGUUUACAUUGCACUUCUUCCUUGGACAAAAACCGUAAUGUCAGCAGAAACAAAAAAAUAGAGCGGCAAAGAGAGCAUAAGAAGAGAGAAUAUCGAUAACUCCUUCCAUGGAAUUAAAACAGUUACUGCUGGGGAUCAGUUGGAGUUAGAUGUGCUUGUGAUCUUCCUCAUCCUGCUCCCAAUAAUUAUCUGAAUAUUUUUUUAGACAAAGAGGAGUUGGAGGAC